CAGCCGCCGCGGGAAUACGAAGGGGGCUAGCGUUGCUCGGAAUUACUGGACGUAAAGGGAGCGUAGGCGGACAUUUAAGUCAGGGGUGAAAUCCCAGAGCUCAACUCUGGAACUGCCUUUGAUACUGGGUGUCUUGAGUGUGAUAGAGGUAUGUGGAACUCCGAGUGUAGAGGUGAAAUUCGUAGAUAUUCGGAAGAACACCAGUGGCGAAGGCGACAUACUGGAUCAUUACUGACGCUGAGGCUCGAAAGCGUGGGGAGCAAACAGGAUUAGAUACCCGUGUAGUCCCUGUCUCUUAUAC
rnacentral:rRNA from 1 species